UCAACUCUUAUAAUCAAUUAUGCCAACUUGCAAAUGGCGAAUUCAGAAGUCUGUUUCUUUAGGGAUCUUGAAGAUUGCUGUGUCAGCUACUGGAUGGUUUUGAGUUGCAGAUUCUUUGCCAAAGAAUCUGCAUAUUUUUUAAGCAUUUUAUGAUAGGAACUAAUAUAAUGUAUAUGUUUAUUCCCUGAGGAUCCAGACAUGUGUUGUGUUUGAACUAUUUCAUGUUUUUGAAAUCUCCUUAACUUAUAUCUAUAUGCUAUGUUUAGCCGUUUAGUUUGGUUUAUACA
rnacentral:lncRNA from 1 species